CGCAAAUGCGAGCACGGCGCGCAGGCGCCGUGGGGCACAGCCGGCACGGUGUACCACGCCCAGGCACAGCAUCCGGCGGUCAGCGGAGCGCGAGUGAGGGGCGCGAAGCGGCCCAUGCCGAUCACCCCCUCCCCCGACGAGCAUGCCUGCGAAGCAUGCGGCACAGCCCGUCUGCAUCCCGACGGGGCGGGCUGAUGAGGCGCAGACGCCGGAAGCAUGGCGAGAGCACCGCCGAGCCCUGCAGACUCCCACGCGACGAGUCGCCGCGCCAGAUCACGGAAUAGCGCGACUUGCAGCGGCUCUAGGCGCAGGAGCACGGCACGCAGGCCGGGCCUCAGAGGGCCCUGCCCCGAGGCUGGCCCGCCUCCUGCUCGAGCUCGUGCGGCGUGCGCGGUGGCCGCCCCCUGUUACGCGGGCGACAGAGACGCCGUCGCCACUGCCCUGGAGCGCAGGACGCUGCAGGCGACCCUGCUUGGAUCGAGGCAUGCGCCCCAGCGGAGGCCCGUCUGGCGCGCGCCUCGAUUUUGCGGCAGGGCGGUGCGCCCUAGACGACCAGAGUGUAGCCGUGGUGCCGCAGAGGUGGGUGAGCUGUGAUUGUGUGUACGCUUACGUUUGUGGAGUAGUUCCUGGUAGGCUGGACACCUUGAUGAAUAGAAGAAUAGCCGAGGAGGUCAUCCUUUGCAUAUCUAAGCCAAGGGCGGGGCGCGAAGGCAGUGUGCUGCGUCUGAAUCGAUCUGCAGCUUCUUCGUCACGUAUGUGUCCACGCUGCUGUAGCGCUCCUGCACGUGGCCGGUUGCCGUGCUGAGGUAGGCGGAGUCGAUGCCCCAGACGAUGCCGAUAGCAGAGCCGGUAAUCUCCGUGGCGUCGUCUUACCAGUUCGCUUCCGUCGAUCGCUUCAGGCUGACGCUGGUGAGCAUGUAGUGAUGCAGUGUUGUGCUGUGCGGCACGCCAACUAUCUGAAGGAUGAUGGCCGCCAUCAGGUCUGUGGGGUCCUUGCCGGCGGUGCCGUAAAAGAGGAUGGGUUGCUGCCGCCCGUCUGCACGGAAAGGGGUGCUCGUCAGCAACUGGAACACCUGCGCGAGUUGGUGGCUUUAGUUGUCCAUAUGGUCGCGGUACGUGGGGUGGACGAGAUCGCGCAUGCACUCGGGCGUGGCCUCCGUUUCGGGCCCCCACAGGUCCACGCCCAUCGACCCCUCCCGCAAUCGGCUCGAGCACGUGCUCAAUAUUCCGAAGUGAGCACGACUUGUGAAAAACCUCGUCUCAAAUGCGGAAAUCAAAGGCGUGAGUGAGGUGCCGCCGGUCUGCGAGCACCUACUGUGCGGCAACUUUGUGGUAAGGUGUGCAGGUUGUCGCUGCGGAGCCCUUACCCUUCGGAAAUGCGACGCCCGCAUGUGGUCGCGUAGCCGCCGAGAUCGCGGAGGUUCGUGAGGCCGGGCAGGUUUUUAGAGCGUGUUUCGUGUGUGUACGUACGAAGAGGCAGAUGCUAUGGUCGAUCCCGCACAACAAUGGAGGACGCGAUGACGGCGAAUGAGGUGGACU
rnacentral:misc_RNA from 1 species